GGCAGAAUGUUAGCAUUAAAAUUGCAGAAGCACUAGGGACUUUCAGUGAGCUUUGAAUGAAUGUUGAGCACAUGGGUACUUGAAUCCCUCUCCUUAUUUAUAUACUUUGACCUUCUGGUGCUCCUUUCUGUUUCUCCUGUAAUCCACCUACUAAUUCCUUCAUUACUAUUUAUGCUGUGAAAACAUGGCAGGCUGCACUUCUGUUGCAGCCCUGAGGUACCUCAAAGGAAUGCCUAGGGCUCCACAGAGCACUAUCUAAUCCAAUUCCCAUUCCCUCUUUUAUAGAUACAAAAGCUGAUGCCCAGAAAGGAUGAAUGACUUAACCUAAGACAUCACAGGCCGUCUGGAGAAGAGCUGAAAUCGCAACUCUGGUCUUUUGGCCAUAUUCAGUGCUUUAUACUUCAGUUUUACAGU
rnacentral:lncRNA from 1 species